rnacentral:rRNA from 1 species
GACGAACGCUGGCGGCGUGCUUAACACAUGCAAGUCGAACGGAAAGGCCCUGCUUUUGUGGGGUGCUCGAGUGGCGAACGGGUGAGUAACACGUGAGUAACCUGCCCUUGACUUUGGGAUAACUUCAGGAAACUGGGGCUAAUACCGGAUAGGAGCUCCUGCUGCAUGGUGGGGGUUGGAAAGUUUCGGCGGUUGGGGAUGGACUCGCGGCUUAUCAGCUUGUUGGUGGGGUAGUGGCUUACCAAGGCUUUGACGGGUAGCCGGCCUGAGAGGGUGACCGGCCACAUUGGGACUGAGAUACGGCCCAGACUCCUACGGGAGGCAGCAGUGGGGAAUAUUGCACAAUGGGCGGACGCCUGAUGCAGCAACGCCGCGUGCGGGAUGACGGCCUUCGGGUUGUAAACCGCUUUCGCCUGUGACGAAGCGUGAGUGACGGUAAUGUGUAAAGAAGCACCGGCUAACUACGUG